AUUGAACGCUGGCGGCAGGCUUAACACAUGCAAGUCGAGCGGGGGAAGGUAGCUUGCUACUGGACCUAGCGGCGGACGGGUGAGUAAUGCUUAGGAAUCUGCCUAUUAGUGGGGGACAACAUCUCGAAAGGGAUGCUAAUACCGCAUACGUCCUACGGGAGAAAGCAGGGGAUCUUCGGACCUUGCGCUAAUAGAUGAGCCUAAGUCGGAUUAGCUAGUUGGUGGGGUAAAGGCCUACCAAGGCGACGAUCUGUAGCGGGUCUGAGAGGAUGAUCCGCCACACUGGGACUGAGACACGGCCCAGACUCCUACGGGAGGCAGCAGUGGGGAAUAUUGGACAAUGGGGGGAACCCUGAUCCAGCCGUGCCGCGUGUGUGAAGAAGGCCUUAUGGUUGUAAAGCACUUUAAGCGAGGAGGAGGCUACUCUAGUUAAUACCUAGGGAUAGUGGACGUUACUCGCAGAAUAAGCACCGGUUAACUCUGUGCCAGCAGCCGCGGUAAUAC
rnacentral:rRNA from 1 species